AAGUGUAAUCCUUUUUAUUUAACUUGUUGGACUUGAUAAAACUCUAAGAAUUCUUGUGUUGAUGUUCAUGAGGGAUAAUUGUCUUCUUUUCUUGCAAUGUCUGAUUUGGGGAUCAAAGCAAUGCUGGCCUCAGAGACAGAACUGAGUAUUCUUUCCUCUUAUAUUUCUUGUGAGAGGUUGUGCAGAAUUAGUAUUAUUCCCUUAAAUACGUGGCAACAUUUACCACUAAAGCUACCUAUGUCUACCGUUUUCUUUGUGAUAACACAUCUUUCAUAGAGCUAUGUAGGUUUUCCACUUCUUCCUAAGUAAACUAAUUUGUAUCUUUUAAGGAAUCUGCAUGGGUUCAUCUAAAUUGUCAAAUGUAUUCCUAGAAGUUAUUCGUAAUAGUCUCUUAUUAUUGUUGUAAUAUCUGUAGAAUCUGUAGUGAAGCUACCUAAUUUCUGACAUUGGUAAUCUAUCUUUUCUCCUGAUCAGUCUAAAGAGAAUUUUCUUGAGCUUCUCAAAGAACCAGCUUUUGGUUAAUUAAUUUUCUAUAUUUUCUCUUCCUAAUGUCUAAUUUCUGUUUUACUUGCAUGAUUUCCCCUUUUCUGUGUACACUUUUAAUUUGGUCUUUUUUUCCUAGUUUCUUAAAGUGGAAGCUGAGGUCACUGAUUUGAGACCUUUUUUUCUAACACAGGCAUUGAGCCCUAUAAAUUCCCCUCAGUACUGCUUUACUUGCAUCACGGGAUACAAAGCCGACACAAAAGCCAACUGUAUUUCUAUACACCAGCAAUGAACAAGUAGAAACCAAAAAUCAGAAAAACAAUACCAUUUACAACAGCUCCAAGAAAAUAGUUACAAAUCUAAGAAAAUAUGUACAAGAUCUGUAUGCUAAAACUAUAAAAUGCUGAAGAAAGAAACUAAACAUGCAAAUAAAUGGAGAGACACGUCAUGUUCACGGAUUAAAAGGCGAUCAUAAAUAUGUUAAUUCUCCCCAAACUUAUCUAUAGAUUUAAUGCAAUUCUAAUCAAAAUCCCAGCAGGACUUUUGUAGCUAAGCUAAUCCUAAAAUUUAAAUGGAAAGGUAACACUGAUACAAUAGUCAAAAUAAUUUUAAAAGAAAAAUAAAAUUGGAAGAAUUAUAUUACCAGAUUUUAAUACUUAUUACAAAGCUAUAGUCAUCUUGACUUAUGUGGUAUUGGCAAAAGGAGAGAUGUACAGAUCAAUGGGAGAAAAUAAAAAGUCUAGAAAUAGACCCAUACCAAUAUGGCUAAUUCCUGACAAAGAUAUAAAAGAAAUUCAGCAGAGAAAGGAUAGUCUUUCCAACAAAUGGUGCUGGAACAACUAGACCUUUCUGCUGAAUAACAACUUUUUCUUAAACACACUAUGUAAAGAUGCUUUAAGUGAUAUUUUGAUAUUGUGCUUUUAGACAGACACACUCGCCAAUUGACUCAGUACAAGUGUCUAGUCAGAGAAUAUAGGGAAAAAAAUUUGAAUUGCACAACAUAUGUGAACAAAACAUAAAAUGCUUUUCUUGGCAUGGGUAGAAACUUCCAGACUUCCGUCUAUUGUGUUCACUAUUUCCUCAUUUUUAAAAGUGUUCUUGGAUUUAGGCUUUAUUUUGUCCUUAAGCAGAACUUCUGAAAAAGUUCAAAUAGUAAACAUAU
rnacentral:lncRNA from 1 species